rnacentral:rRNA from 1 species
AGUUAUUUGUAUAUAUAAAUAAUAAGACCUGCUCAAUGAUAAAUUAAAUAGCCGCGGUAUUUAUGACUGUGCAAAGGUAGCAUAAUCAUUUGUUUUAUAAAUUAAGAAUAGUAUGAAAGGUUAUAUGGGGUGUAGCUUUCUUAAAUUAAAAGAUAAAAUUAAUCUUUUUAGUGAAGAGACUAAAAUGAUAUUGUAAGACGAGAAGACCCUAUCAAGCUUGAUAUAAUAUAUUUAGUUGGGGUAAUUAAAGAACAUAGCUUCUUUUAUAAAUUAAAAUUAUAGUUUUAGAAUUUAUAGUAUAAGAUAUUAGAUAAAGUUACUGUAGGGAUAACAGCAUAAUUUUUUUGAAGAGUUCUUAUCGAUAAAAUUAAUUAUGACCUCGAUGUUGGAUUAGAAAAAUUAUAUGAUGAAGUUAUCAUAAAAAUUAGUCUGUUCGACUAUUAAAUUUCUACA